GCAAUGAGACUGCUGAGCCACCAUAAGUGCAGGCUGGACCCUCCUUGUGAAAGCACAGCUAUGGAUUGGGCUAUUUGAAUAGAUUCAUAUUUUACCAUCCAGUGACAUCCAUUAUUGAAUGCACAUGUGACAUCUGGACUAGAAGAUCACAGAAGCAUUCUUUACCCUCUAUAAAAUUAGAAACAGCUACCCAAUGAUAGGAUAGUGAACAAAAAUAAUUCAUACAAUAGCAAAGUUAUGAAAAUGAAUGAACUACAAUGAGGGAUACUGGACAGAAUAUCCAGCUAAAAGAUUACUGUAGGUAGUAUAGUAACUUAUACAAAGUUUAGUAACACUUAAACCCAAUGUUAUAAACAUGAGGAUAUCAGAAUACUCAUCCUUGGUUCAUGGUAUAGCAUAGGCAACAGGUGUGCUACAAUGUUCUAUUUCUAGUCUUGCUCAACUGGCAGAUGCCUUUAUUUAUGGAGACUCACUACCGUUCACUGAGCUGUAUGCAUACACUGUGUGCACUCUUCUGCAAUACUGUUCAUAUCACUUCUUCAGAAGGUACACUGUUUUCUUAGUGCUACACACACUGAAGUUUCUCAUAGUAGUUGCUAUCAAUUAAAUUUAGAACAAACUACAUAUAUAUAAUACUUUUUAAAAUUUAUAAAAAUUUUGGUGACCUUAAAAGUAGUACAAAUAAUAUAACAUUUGCUAUUAUUGGACAAAAUUAGACUUGUUAAGUCAGUGGUGUAAGUGCCAAGUAGACAACAGAAGACAGACUGUGCAUAUGAGUUUUGGGAGCAAAGAAAGCUUUUGCUAAAGCAAAUCAGAAGUUUCUUGUCAAUGGAGAAGAAAAGAAACAUCACAUUCAUGGAUACAUUUCCUUCCACCUAUGUACCACAUUCUAGAACCAGUAGGACUGGUUGCAGCUAAAACGGAUUUUAUUCUGCCCAGAGAUGAAAACUAAGAUAAAUUUGAUAAAAUGUUACUACAAUUAUUUCUAUUAAGAGAUUAAACUCCCAAGGAUGAAAAAUUAAAUAAAAUUCUGUCUAAUUGAUUACAAUGUACAGUGUUUGGUUUUGUUUUUAAAGGCUUUUAAUGAACACACUACUCAUUCAGGUAAGUCUUUGGGAAAUAAUGGUCUCCUAUUUGUGAAAUGGUGUUUUCAUGGUUCUUCUUACCCAUUUAAUAAAUUUUACAAAAGAAGAAAAAUAGCUACAUGAAUCUGACACUAGAUUUAAUUUCAUGUUUAAUUAUGUAUUUUAAUCAUUUUGUGUGAGCACACAUAUGUCCAUGCAAACAUGCAUCAUGACACUUGGAGGUCAGAGGACAACUUAGAGGAGUGGGUUCUCUCCUCCCAACACACAGGUUCCAAGGACUGGAGCUGAACUGAGGCUAUCUGGCUUGGUGGCAUGCACCUUUACUGCCUUAGCUGUCUUGCCUGCCCUCUAACACUUUAGAAACAAGGGUAGGAAAGGGGAGAAGCUAGUGGGUGAGCCAAAAGACCUCACUUGCAUGACAAAAUGGCAUCUAAACAAAGAGUUUUGAUUUUAACAUGGAUGCAUAUUAUAUUCAAAAUUAUAACUUUAGAAAGUCUAGCUGUCAAACAAAUAAAUGUAAUACCUUUACAAACAUUCCAUUCUGCAAUGUGCAAUAAAAAGACAUCUUUUCUUUUUUUCUCUUAAGAAAGUACUGUGUAACUAGCAGUAACUUGAUGGUUAGUGUUGUCAACUAGACAGACAAGGAUAUAAAAUCACCUAGGAGCAAACCUGUAAGGAACUGUCUUAAUUGUACUGACUCAGGAGGGAAGACCCAUCUACUUUGAAUGAUAUCAUUUGUUCUCUCACCUCCAAAGGUGCACACAAAAAAUAAUAAAGAAAGAAGAAAAUAUAAGGAUACUCCCUACCCCCAGAUGCUAAAUAGCCAAGUGCUUAAUUGAGUACCUGCCCAUGAGUACUCUUGAACUGUGAGUCAAAACAACUGUUUCAGGAUUUAUCAUCGCAGCAACAACAAAAAAAGACACUAAAACAUAUUAAAAGUGGUAAGUUCCAGGACAGCCAGGGCUAUGUAUCGAGACCCUGCCUCAAAACAUAACAAACAAGCAAAAGAAAAAACUCCAAAGAUAUUUUAAUACAUUAUGCCUUUUAUAUAAAUAAAGACAUUUCUUUCCAAGAACCCCAAUGGAAGCCUGAAACCAAGAGACUGUGGCAUGCAUAGUAAGAGAUUACAAACAACAAUUUUAAGGAUAUACUUUGAUGUUACUUAAGACAUAUUUUCUGGUUACAUAAGAAUAUAUCUACUUAAUAUCUUUGAAUCUCAGAAACAGAAGGCACAUAUGUAGAGAUAGCUAGUGAAAACAGAAAGCAAUUACCCUGGUACCUGUCGAAUGGUAAGCACUUUGUAAAUAUUGGUCCCCACAACCUCAUGCCUGCUGCUGCUAUUACUACUGAGGGGUUACCUGGGGAAAGGCAGUCUCCUCACUGCCACAGUCUGCUUAUGAUAGUUUUCUUCUUGGCCUCACGGGAUAUCAGCUCUUCUGAAGCCAGUAAGCCCAGCUACUGGACACCCUAGACAUCCUCUAGGAGCACCCACAUGGUACCUCUUAGCACAUGGAUCCGAGCUUAGUAAAACUGAAUGUUCAUUUCUUCAAGUAGUCAGUUAUCUUCUCAUUUUAAUCCAAUAGCUUCCUUUUCAUUUUUAAAGGAAGGCAUUUUAAGAAAAUAUUUUAUUAUUUUAUUCUAUUUUAUGUGUAUAGGUAUUUUGUCAACAUGGAUGUCUGUGCACCAAGCCUGUGCCUAUUGCAUUCAGUGCCCAGUAUCAGAUUUCCUGGGGGUGGAGUGACAGGUGUAUGUUUGGAAUUGAACUAGAGUUCUCUAAAAGAUCAGCCAGUGUUCUUAGCCACUGAAUCAUCACUCCAGUCCUAGAAUUGUUUUUCUUUUCAAAUAAGCAAGAAGUUUAAGUAAUUUUCCUAAAAACUUACCCACUCAUUCUACAGAACCUAUUUUCUGGAAUUUGAUGAAUUUCCAAAUCCACAUUGAAAAUAGUACUCAAAUGGGCAAAAUAAGAGAGGAAGACAGUUAACAACCCCUAAGUAUAGUCUUCCAGAUUCUCC
rnacentral:lncRNA from 1 species